AUUGAACGCUGGCGGCAGGCCUAACACAUGCAAGUCGAGCGAGCGGCGGACGGGUGAGUCAUGUCUGGGAAACUGCCUGAUGGAGUGGGAUAACUUCUGGAAACGGUAGCUAAUACCGCAUACUAUCCGCUGUCCCCAGAUGGGAUUAGUUGGUAGGUGGGGUAACGGCUCACCUAGGCGACGAUACCUAGCUGGUCUGAGAGGAUGACCAGCCACACUGGACCUGAGACACGGUCAGGACGCCGACGGGAGACAGCAGGUGGGAAUAUUGCACUAAGGGCGCAAGCCUGAUACAGCCAUGCCGCGUGUGUGACGAAGGCCUUCGGGUUGUAAAGCACUUUCAGCGGGGAGGCGUUACCCGCAGAAGAAGCACCGGCUAACUCCGUGCCAGCAGCCGCGGUAAUUC
rnacentral:rRNA from 1 species